UUCCGAACCCAGAAGCUAAGACCUCCUGCGCCGAUGGUACUGCAAGGGUGACCUUGUGGGAGAGUAGGACACCGCCGGAC
rnacentral:rRNA from 1 species